CAUAGAAAGGCACCGUGGGGAGGAUUUUGAAAAUAUAUUCAGUCCAGCUCCCUGUGGUGCAGUUAAAGGAACUAAGGCUCAGAGAAAGGAUGUGGCUCCCCCAGUCACCUUGAAUUCAGAUCCAAAACUUUCCCCUCCGUCCAGUCCCCCAGGCCUUUGGGACCCCCAGCUGGACGCCGGCCCCACUGUGGUCAGUGGUCAGUGGUCAGGAUAGUGUAGGGCUUCCCUACCUGCCCCUACGAAGCAGCACUUCAUCAACACACGCGGUGCCAGGCCUGGCCAGCCGAGCAGGUCCUGAGCCCAGAAACAAAGAUGUGGGGUGGGGGGGCUCGGCUGCCUCUCGGUGCCCUGGCUGCGCUCAGAAUCAACCCUGGAGUGUCACACUGCUCACUGUGGGAAGACGCUGGACAAGAAGAUGCUCUGCGUCUGGACAGACGGGUCAUCUCCACCCCAGCCUUCCUAGCACCCUGCGAGUGUUUCCAGGCCUCCAUUCAGGCACUGGGAUCCUCACUGAGCACUUCCUGUGUGCAGCCACUCUUCUGAGGACACGGAAACUACUCAUGGAACUUACAGUUCUAGCAGAGGAGACCGACAAGUGACUUUCAUCUCAUUUCAGGCUAUGUUAAGAGAUAUAAAAAAUAAAGCACAGAAGUCUACCUUGGCAUA
rnacentral:lncRNA from 1 species